rnacentral:rRNA from 1 species
AUUGAACGCUGGCGGCAUGCUUUACACAUGCAAGUCGAACGGUAACAGGUCUUCGGAUGCUGACGAGUGGCGAACGGGUGAGUAAUACAUCGGAACGUGCCCGAUCGUGGGGGAUAACGAAGCGAAAGCUUUGCUAAUACCGCAUACGAUCUACGGAUGAAAGCAGGGGACCGCAAGGCCUUGCGCGAACGGAGCGGCCGAUGGCAGAUUAGGUAGUUGGUGGGAUAAAAGCUUACCAAGCCGACGAUCUGUAGCUGGUCUGAGAGGACGACCAGCCACACUGGGACUGAGAUACGGCCCAGACUCCUACGGGAGGCAGCAGCUAAGAAUAUUCCGCAAUGGACGAAAGUCUGACGGAGCGACGCCGCGUGGAUGAAGAAGGCCGAAAGGUUGUAAAGUUCUUUUGCUAGGGGAGAAUAAGUGAGGGAGGGAAUGCCCUCAUGAUGACAAGGACUAGCGAAUAAGCCCCGGCAACUACGUGCCAGC